rnacentral:piRNA from 2 species
AGGAGUUGGAAUAGGAGCUUGCUC